rnacentral:rRNA from 1 species
GAUGAACGCUAGCGGGAGGCCUAAUACAUGCAAGUCGAGCGGUAGAGUGACUUCGGUUGCUUGAGAGCGGCGAACGGGUGAGUAACGCGUACACAAUCUACCUUUAAGAGGGGAAUAGCCCUGGGAAACUGGGAUUAAUGCCCCAUGGCAUCACGAGACGGCAUCGUUUUGUGAUUAAAGCUGAGGUGCUUAGAGAUGAGUGUGCGUCUGAUUAGCUAGUUGGUGCGGUAACGGCGCACCAAGGCGACGAUCAGGUAGGGGGCGUGAGAGCGUGGACCCCCACACGGGUACUGAGACACGGACCCGACUCCGUACGGGAGGCAGCAGUAAGGAAUAUUGGUCAAUGGAGGAAACUCUGAACCAGCCAUCCCGCGUGCAGGAAGAAUGCCCUAUGGGUUGUAAACUGCUUUUAUCUGGGAAG